UGGAUCCAGACUUUGAUCAUGGCUCAGGAUGAACGCUGGCGGCGUGCUUAACACAUGCAAGUCGAACGGAGGACCCUUGAAGGAGUUUUCGGACAACGGAUAGGAAUCCUUAGUGGCGGACGGGUGAGUAACGCGUGAGCAAUCUGCCUUGGAGUGGGGAAUAACAGCUGGAAACAGCUGCUAAUACCGCAUGAAACAGCUGAGUCGCAUGGCUCUGGCUGUCAAAGAUUUAUCGCUCUGAGAUGAGCUCGCGUCUGAUUAGCUAGUUGGCGGGGCAAUGGCCCACCAAGGCGACGAUCAGUAGCCGGACUGAGAGGUUGGCCGGCCACAUUGGGACUGAGACACGGCCCAGACUCCUACGGGAGGCAGCAGUGGGGAAUAUUGGGCAAUGGGCGCAAGCCUGACCCAGCAACGCCGCGUGAAGGAAGAAGGCUUUCGGGUUGUAAACUUCUUUUCUCAGGGACGAAGCAAGUGACGGUACCUGAGGAAUAAGCCACGGCUAACUACGUGCCAGCAGCCGCGGUAAUACGUAGGUGGCAAGCGUUAUCCGGAUUUACUGGGUGUAAAGGGCGUGUAGGCGGGAAAGCAAGUCAGAUGUGAAAACCAUGGGCUCAACCCAUGGCCUGCAUUUGAAACUGUUUUUCUUGAGUACUGGAGAGGCAGACGGAAUUCCUAGUGUAGCGGUGAAAUGCGUAGAUAUUAGGAGGAACACCAGUGGCGAAGGCGGUCUGCUGGACAGCAACUGACGCUGAGGCGCGAAAGCGUGGGGAGCAAACAGGAUUAGAUACCCUGGUAGUCCACGCUGUAAACGAUGGAUACUAGGUGUGGGGGGACUGACCCCCUCCGUGCCGCAGUUAACACAAUAAGUAUCCCACCUGGGGAGUACGAUCGCAAGGUUGCAACUCAAAUGAAUUGACGGA
rnacentral:rRNA from 1 species